AAACUAACAAGGAUUCCCCUAGUAACUGCGAGUGAAGCGGGAAAAGCUCAAAUUUAAAAUCUGGCGGGUUCCCCGUCCGAGUUGUAAUCUGGAGAAGCAUUUUCCGUGUCGGACCGUGUACAAGUCCCUUGGAAUGGGGCGUCAUAGAGGGUGAGAAUCCCGUCCAUGACACGGACUACCGAUGCUUUGUGAUACGCUCUCGAAGAGUCGAGUUGUUUGGGAAUGCAGCUCAAAAUGGGUGGUAAAUUCCAUCUAAAGCUAAAUAUUGGCGAGAGACCGAUAGCGAACAAGUACCGUGAGGGAAAGAUGAAAAGCACUUUGGAAAGAGAGUUAAACAGUACGUGAAAUUGUUGAAAGGGAAACGCUUGAAGUCAGUCGCGUCCGUCAAGACUCAGCCUUGCCUUUGGGCCUGGUGUAUUUCUUGGUGGACGGGUCAACAUCGAUUUUGAAUGGCAGAUAAAGGUCUGGGGAAUGUGGCACCUCCGGGUGUGUUAUAGCCCCUCUCCGUAUAUGCUGUUUGGGAUCGAGGAACGCAGCACGCCCUUGUGGCCGGGGUUUUACCCACGUACCGUGCUUAGGAUGUUGGCAUAAUGGCUUUAAGCGACC
rnacentral:rRNA from 1 species